CGCCUCUUGCCUAGACAUAAGAGGUCCCGCCUGCCCAGUGACCUUAUUCAACGGCCGCGUGAUUUAAACGCGCAAAGGUAGCAUAAUCAUUUGUUCUUUAAAUGAGGACUUGUAUCAACGGCACCACGAGAGCUAUACUGUCUCCUUUCCCCAAUCAGUGAAACUAAUCUCCCCGUGAAAAAGCAGGGAUACUAUUAUAAGACGAGAAGACCCCAUGGAGCUUAAAACUCAGCAACAACCCUAAUAACACAACCCUAAAUAAUUUUAAGCCCUGUUUGCUAGUUUUAGGUUGGGGCGACCGCGGAGUAAAACAAAACCUCCACAGCGAAAAGAGACUAACCCCUUAUCCAAGAGAUACACCUCUAAGAAUUAACAAUAUAAUGCCUAAUGACCCAACUAUUGAUCAACGAACCAAGUUACCCUGGGGAUAACAGCGCAAUCCACUUUGAAAGCUCAUAUUGACAAGUGGGCUUACGACCUCGAUGUUGGAUCAGGGUAUCCCAGUGGUGUAGCCGCUACUAAAGGUUUGUUUGUUCAACAAUUAAAACCCUACG
rnacentral:rRNA from 1 species